CAGUCGCCGCGGGAAUACGUAGGGUACAAGCGUUAAUCGGAAUUACUGGGCGUAAAGCGUGCGCAGGCGGUUUCGUAAGACAGAUGUGAAAUCCCCGGGCUUAACCUGGGAACAGCAUUUGUGACUGCGAGGCUAGAGUGUGUCAGAGGGGGGUGGAAUUCCACGUGUAGCAGUGAAAUGCGUAGAUAUGUGGAGGAACACCGAUGGCGAAGGCAGCCCCCUGGGAUAACACUGACGCUCAUGCACGAAAGCGUGGGGAGCAAACAGGAUUAGAUACCCCGGUAGUCCCUGUCUCUUAUAC
rnacentral:rRNA from 1 species